rnacentral:rRNA from 1 species
GAUGAACGCUGGCGGCGUGCCUAAUACAUGCAAGUCGAGCGAACAGACGAGGAGCUUGCUCCUUUGACGUUAGCGGCGGACGGGUGAGUAACACGUGGGUAACCUACCUAUAAGACUGGGAUAACUUCGGGAAACCGGAGCUAAUACCGGAUAAUAUUUCGAACCGCAUGGUUCGAUAGUGAAAGAUGGCUUUGCUAUCACUUAUAGAUGGACCUGCGCCGUAUUAGCUAGUUGGUAAGGUAACGGCUUACCAAGGCAACGAUACGUAGCCGACCUGAGAGGGUGAUCGGCCACACUGGAACUGAGACACGGUCCAGACUCCUACGGGAGGCAGCAGUAGGGAAUCUGCCGCAAUGGGCGAAAGCCUGACGGAGCAACGCCGCGUGAGUGAUGAAGGUCUUCGGAUCGUAAAACUCUGUUAUUAGGGAAGAACAAACGUGUAAGUAACUGUGCACGUCUUGACGGUACCUAAUCAGAAAGCCACGGCUAACUACGU